rnacentral:rRNA from 1 species
CAGACCUCUAAUCGGAAAAGACUACCCGGU